UACGGAGGGUGCGAGCGUUAAUCGGAAUUACUGGGCGUAAAGCGCGCGUAGGCGGCUUGUUAAGUCGGAUGUGAAAUCCCCGGGCUCAACCUGGGAAUUGCAUUCGAUACUGGCCGACUAGAGUACGAGGGAGGGAGGUAGAAUUCCCCGUGUAGCGGUGAAAUGCGUAAAUAUGUGGAGGAAUACCGGUGGCGAAGGCGGCCUCCUGGCUCGAUACUGACGCUGAGGUGCGAAAGCGUGGGUAGCAAACAGGACUAGAUACCCUGGUAGUCCACGCCGUAAACGAUGUCUACUAGCCGUUGGGAGACUUGGUUUCUUAGUGGCGCAGCUAACGCACUAAGUAGACCGCCUGGGGAGUACGGCCGCAAGGUUAAAACUCAAAUGAAUUGACGGGGGCCCGCACAAGCGGUGGAGCAUGUGGUUUAAUUCGAUGCAACGCGAAGAACCUUACCAGGUCUUGACAUCCUCGGAACUAUCCAGAGAUGGAUGGGUGCCUUCGGGAACCGAGAGACAGGUGCUGCAUGGCUGUCGUCAGCUCGUGUCGUGAGAUGUUGGGUUAAGUCCCGUAACGAGCGCAACCCUUGUCCUUAGUUGCCAGCGCGUAAUGGCGGGAACUCUAAGGAGACUGCCGGUGACAAUCCGGAGGAAGGUGGGGACGACGUCAAGUCGUCAUGCCCCUUACGACCUGGGCUACACCCGUGCUCCAAUGGAACGCCCAGAGGGUUGCAACCCCGCGAGGGUGAGCCAAUCCCACAAAACGUUUCCUAGUCCGGAUCGGAGUCUGCAACUCGACUCCGUGAAGUCGGAAUCGCUAGUAAUCGCGGAUCAGAAUGCCGCGGUGAAUACGUUCCCGGGCCU
rnacentral:rRNA from 1 species